rnacentral:ncRNA from 1 species
GAGAACGCAGUGAAAAAGGAAGUAGUCCUUUAGAGCGGUUUUUCAGAGAGGCCGGGUAUGUUUUUCAUGCUGAAAGUCCGGCUAUUACUGUAAAAGGAUGAAGUUCCCUUUGGAGCGGCAUGGCUGAACCUCUUAUGUAGGCCAUGACGGCCGGCACCGUUAUCCGCCGAAAGAGUGUUUGCUCUGCUGCAAAAAUUAGGGUGGUACCGCGGAGAUACGUCUUCGUCCCUUUC